UUUCCCCUACUUUGAUAGGAACGUGUGACGGAGGGAGGCCGGUCCUCGGCCGCGUCGGAGGAGGCGGGCCCGUCCUCCUUCAGCCCGUGGAGUUCAGGCAGCGGCAGGGGGAACCUCAUGAGGCAGACCUCCCACCAUCGAUGAUGGAGGAGUAUCUUCAGUCGUACAGGGCCCACCACGAGGGCCUAGACCCGACCCCCAAAAUGUCGGAAAACGCCGUCUCCAAGGUCAGCAGGGUGAAGACAUUCAUCCUAUACAUGGCCAACAACCGGAGCCGCUUGUCUGACUGGCUGUUUUUGGACGACAUGUCCAGGAUCCUUGGGUGAGUGACAAUGUCAUUACAAUUUCGUUUGUACAUUGAAAGAUUUCCGCUCUCUCUUCAAAUAGUUGGGCCCGCAGUGUGGUGGAAGGCGGGAUGACCAUUGCCACUGCAAAGUUUUAUCUGCAGAAUGCCCUGCAUUUUGCGAGGUUCAUGGUCGGGAUCCCCCCAAAGACAUGCCGCCUCACUCGGGUGCAGUUCGCCUCCAUCGAGAGGGAACUGAAGACGGGGGUGAGGUCGCUGCAGCGCAGGGUGGUGGUCCACCAGAUGUCCACCAAGCGGCUAAAAAUAAGUAAGCUGCCGUCCCGCCAGGCCCUGAGGGGUUGCCUCUCUGCCGCUGCCGUCGCCAUCCCACAGCUACUGGGCGAACUCGAGGCCAAAUUCGACAACGCCACCCGCUUCCUCUACUACGGCUACCAGUGCGCAUAUUGGAGCUGCCUGUUCAGGCACAGGCCGGGGGUCUAUGCCAACAUGACGGACAACGAGGUGGAGGAGGCAAAGACCCUCGGCCAGGAUCGGGGCUACCUGCUUCACGUGAGUGCUAUUUCUGACACUGUUAGCUUUGAAGUUAGCCCUGAUGUCUACUGCGGUGCGUGUACUUGA
rnacentral:lncRNA from 1 species